CUUUUUGAUAAUAAUUUAAGGUCCGGCCUGCCCAAUGAUUUUUAAAUGGCCGCGGUAUUCUGACCGUGCAAAGGUAGCAUAAUCAUUAGUUUUUUAAUUGAAAGCUGGAAUGAAAGGUCAGAUGAGAAAAUAGCUGUCUCUAUUUAAAUUUAAUAGAAUUUUAUUUUUAAGUAAAAAAGCUUAAAUAUAUAUAAAAGACGAGAAGACCCUAUAGAGUUUUAUAGUUUUAUUUUUUAGAGUUUUUAGUAUUAUAAUAUUUGAUAAAUAAAAUUAUUUAGUUGGGGUGAUUGAUAAAUUAAAUAAACUUUUUUUUAAUAAAAACAUUGAUUUAUGAGUAUAUGAUCCUUUAUUUGAGAUUAAAAGAGUAAAUUACCUUAGGGAUAACAGCGUAAUUUUUUUUAAGAGUUCAAAUCGAAAAAAAAGAUUGCGNCCUCGAUGUUGGAUUAAAAUUAAUUUUUGGUGUAGAAGCUAAA
rnacentral:rRNA from 1 species